UACAGAGGGUGCGAGCGUUGUUCGGAAUUAUUGGGCGUAAAGGGUGCGUAGGCGGUGCCGCAAGUCAGAUGUGAAAUCUCGGGGCUUAACCCCGAAACUGCAUUUGAUACUGCGGUGCUCGAGGACUGGAGAGGAGACUGGAAUUCACGGUGUAGCAGUGAAAUGCGUAGAUAUCGUGAGGAAGGCCAGUGGCGAAGGCGAGUCUCUGGACAGUUCCUGACGCUGAGGCACGAAGGCCAGGGGAGCAAACGGG
rnacentral:rRNA from 1 species